CUUCCUGCCUUGGCAGUGGGUAGGGGGAUUUGUGCUGUGGGCAAGGAGGCAGUACGUACUGCCCCAGGGGGCUUCCCGUGCACAGCUCUGGCAACUGGGGAUGUAGGGUCAGGACCAGGCUUCUGGCUCUGAUCUCGCCCAGGCCCUGCCACGACCACACACGUUGUCACCUCCUUGACAACAGACUCCCUAGGACGUGGGCAGGGCUGAGUGGAAGGAAAUGAGAGUGUGCCCCGAGACGUGGCUCCACCCAGCGCUGGGAAAAUUCCAGACUCUGUGUUAGGAAGAAUGAACAGACAGCACGAAAGAGUAAGAUCAGACUUCGGGAAGAAGGGCCAGACGGUGCUAGAGAAACACAGACAAGAUCACGGAGCGCCUUUGGGAAAGGUCGGCCUACGCCUUGUUUGCA